UUCAAUUAAUGAUUUGAAGGCUCCGAGAUCUUUUUCUCUUUCCCAAGUAUUCUCCUCACUGCUGCAUCCCAUCCAUUUGACCAAGUACUCCUGAUGAUCUUUUCUAGAAGCUCGAGUGAUUCAAUGGUCAAAAAUAGCUUCAGCAACCUUCUUUCCAGCUUUCUUCAGUUCAAACACAGGUCGCUUUGGCUCAUUUCUAGAUGCGUCCUCCUUAUCCGCAAAGUAUGACUUCAACACACUAACAUGAAGGACCUUGUGGAUUUUACACCAUGAAGGGAGUUCAACUCUGUAUGCAACUCUUCCAAUCC
rnacentral:lncRNA from 1 species